rnacentral:rRNA from 1 species
UACAGAGGGGGCAAGCGUUAUUCGGAAUUAUUGGGCGUAAAGGGCGCGUAGGCGGUUUUUCAAGUCUGAUGUGAAAGCCCCGGGCUUAACCUGGGAACUGCGUUGGAAACUGAAAGACUAGAGUGCGGCAGAGGGGGGUAGAAUUCCACGUGUAGCAGUGAAAUGCGUAGAUAUGUGGAGGAAUACCGAUGGCGAAGGCAGCCCCCUGGGUCGACACUGACGCUCAUGCACGAAAGCGUGGGUAGCAAACAGG